UAAUUUGCUUUUUUAUUUUCAUAAGUGGUUUGUGUGUGUCAUAUUUAAAUUUCAUUGAAGUGUAAUUUGAGUUUAAAAAGGUAAUAAUGAUUCAAAAAAAAAAAAUUCUAAUUGGGAUUUAAAAUUAGUGAGUCAUAUGUUCCUGCUAAGUGGAGCCACCAUCAUUUAUUUAUAAUUCAUAGUUAGGUUAAAAAGUUUAAAAGCUAGUAAUUUAAUUUCUGUUACACAGGUUAGCACGGCCAGCCAAAGGAGCAAUCUGUGGUUUACUGGACAGUGUUAUGGCCAUUCAAUGACCUUCACCACCUGUGCUACAGCUUUUAAGAUUGAAGAUCUGCCAUUAUUUGCAACAUCACUGUCAUGUCACUCUUUCGGUGGCAGCAGAGUGCUUGAAUCCUGCUGCCAGGAUUUUUUUAAUACCCCCGCUGACCUCAAUGUAGUUGGAAUGGCAAAGUGGUGCUCUCUGUGAAGCAACUGCAGAAGAGACUGACUGACUGCAGUGAGCUAUCUUUCUUGUAGCCUAGCCCCGCACAUUCUGUAGUUGUAGUUGCACUUCAUGUUCGUCAUGUCUUAAUUCACUUUGCUUGUUUUGAAAUGCUACUGUUACAACUUAAAAGUUAUUUUGAGUUUGUAAAGACUGUUUUGUGUACACAUCUAGUAAUUAUUGUAAGUUAAAUAGUGUAAGUCUAACCCUGCAAGCUUUGCCAUUUUUCUAUGGGAUUUCCCAUUGUAUUGAUAUGUUGUUAGCAUCAUGCCAAGCAAGGAUUACUGUCCUGUCAGCCAGUUCAGUUUGUGACGUUAAGUGUCAUGUUGUGAAACAACUCUAUUAAAAUAAAUGUCUUGCAC